rnacentral:snRNA from 1 species
GGAUGUGAGGGCGAUCUGGCUGUGACAUCUGUCACCCAAAAGAUGGCCAGGGUUGAUUCCGCUGAUCUGCCUGGCUAGGCAGGUGUCCCCUUCCUCCCUCACCACUCCAUGUGUGUCCUUCUGGAAGCUGCAUGCUUGUUCUAAGAGGACAACCUUCCCCAAAUAGAGACAGACCGGUCUUCUGCUGAGGGUAUAGAGUAUCUGAGCUCUCCUUCUAGAACCUCCAAACAAGCUCUCAAGGUCCAUUAUAAAAAAUACUUUCUCUUUUCCCUACUUAAAAAAAAAAAAAGUCUGCUGCUGGGCUGAAAAAUGGUUU